rnacentral:rRNA from 1 species
CUGGUUGAUCCUGCCAGUAGGGCAAGCUAUUCUCGAAGAUUAAGCCAUGUAUGUGCCAAGUUCAUACGUUAAACGUGAGACUGCGGACGGCUCAGUAUAUCAGUGAUUAUCUGUUUGAUUGUCUCUCCCAUUGGAUAACCGUGGGAAAUCUAGAGCUAAUACAUGUAGUUAAUUGGCGUAUCGUAAGGUACGUCAAAGCAUUUAUUAGAUUAAACCAUCUACUACUCUGUAGUAAGACGAAUCUAGAUAACUUUGCUGAUCGUAUGGCCUCGUGCCGGCGACGUUUCAAUUGAGUUUCUGCCCUAUCAACUUGUUGGUAAGGUAUUGGCUUACCAAGGUUGCAACGGGUAACGGGGAAUCAGGGUUCGAUUCCGGAGAGGGAGCCUGAGAAACGGCUACCACAUCCAAGGAAGGCAACAGGCGCGCAAAUUACCCAAUCUAGACAGUAGGAGGUGGUGAAGAGAAUUACUAAGUGGUGGUUCAAUGAACUACCAACUUGGAAUGGACGUAACUUAAGCAAUUCGUUGAGAAACAACUGGAGGGCAAGUCCUGGUGCCAGCAGCCGCGGUAAUUCCAGCUCCAGUAGUUUGCUUUAAAGUUGUUGCGUUUAAAACGCUCGUAGUUGGAUCACGCAACGGUGUACGGUAAUCUAUUCACUAGGUUGGAAUGUUCGAGUGUGAAUCGAAAGAUUAGACUCGAACUCCAAUCUGUGAUAGAUAUAAAAGCUGACCACCGUUAAUUGCACGUGAGAUGGAUUGUUGACCUUUAGUGAGUCGGUAAUCCUGUCUUGCGGAGUGUGCCUUGAAUAAAACAGAGUGCUUAAAGCAGGUUUACGCCUGAAUGUUAUAGCAUGGAACGAACAAUAGUGAUCACGUGCGUGAUAUUUGAUAACAAUAGGCCUCUGGUUUGUUGUUGUUGGAGUCGCGUACAUCACCCACCAAAAUAUGGCUGUUGGUUCCAUAUACGGUGAUGAUUAAAAGGAGCGGUUGGGGGCAUCGGUAUUUGGCCGCGAGAGGUGAAAUUCUUGGACCGGCCAAGGACUAACAAAUGCAAAGGCACUUGUCUAGACCGUAUCCAUUAAUCAAGAACGAAAGUGGGAGGUUCGAAGACGAUCAGAUACCGUCCUAGUUCCCACUGUAAACUAUGCCGACCUGGGAUCAGUUUAGAGAUGUUACAAGCUCUAAAUUGGUCCCCCUGGGAAACCUCAAGUUUUUCGGUUACGGGGAGAGUAUGGUCGCAAGGCUGAAACUUAAAGGAAUUGACGGAAGGGCACCACCAGGGGUGGAGCCUGCGGCUUAAUUUGACUCAACACGGGGAAACUUACCUGGUCCGGACAUCGAUAGGAUACACAGACUGAUAGAUCUUUGUUGAUGCGAUGAGUGGUGGUGCAUGGCCGUUCUUAGUUCGUGGAGUGAUCUGUCAGCUUAAUUGCGGUAACGAACGAGACCACAGUCUCCAUUUAAGAAAUAGAAAAAGACAGCUUAUUGUGAGAGACUUGUCUUGAUCAGUAGGUUGUUGCUGGCUAGAAGUGCGAUCGUAUGGCGACGUUUUUGAGGAGCAAUCUGAUGAGGCGAAGUUGUGCGGUUGAGCUUUUUCCUUUCUAUCGAGCAGUAAUUGGUUCCUACCAGUUGCUGCCUUAUGGAGAGACAACGAGGUAUAAACAAGCUCGAGGAAGAGUGGCUAUAACAGGUCAGUGAUGCCCUUCGAUGUUCAGGGCUGCACGCGCGCUACAAUGAUAACGACAACAAGCAUCCGCGUCGAAAGACGUAGGUAAUCUUUAAUCGUUAUCGUGAUGGGGAUUGACCGUUGUAAUUAUCGGUCAUGAAAGAGGAAUCCCUAGUAUGCAUAUUUUAUUAGAAUGUGCAGAUUGAGUCCCUGCCCUUUGUACACACCGCCCGUCGCUACUACCGAGUGAAUGGUGUCAUGAUGCCCUGGGACUGGACGUCUGGCGGGAUUAACCUCUUGCAAGAUGCUAGAAUCAGUGUAAAAUGGCGCAAUUUCGAGGAAGUAAAAGUCGUAACAAGGUUUCCGUAG